rnacentral:pre_miRNA from 1 species
CUUGUUGUAUGUAUAAUGAAAGGCGCCACUGCGGUAUUGGCCCGGUUCACUCAGACACAGCUCGCUAGCGCAUAUUUAUAUAUGUUUGAUUGAGCCGUGCCAAUAUCUCAAUGCACCUUUCACUCGAUCGCAAG